GGCAACUGCGGUGGAACCAGACCAGGUCACAAGACGAGAUCCCAAUCUUGCGAUCCACUCUGAGUCGCCCCCUCUCCCCUUCCGCCGCCGAUGGCGCUGCCGUCGAGCGCCUCCUCGUCGGCGCGGCUGCGGCUUCUCACCGUGCCGGCGCUGCUGCUGCUGCUCUCCUCCGCCGCGCUGCUCGUCUUCCUCGUCCUCCCCUCGCUCUCCCCAUCCUCGGCCUCUUCCUCCGCCGUCUCCUCGCACCUCUGCGCCUGCUCGCCCCCCGCCACCCACACCACCACCACCGUCACCACCACCACCGUCACCGCCUCCCCCGCGCCCGUCACCACCUCCCCCACGGACGUCGCCUGGCUCAAGGCCCAGCUCGCGUCCAACUCCCUCCUCCUCCCCGCCGGCGGCGCCGCCCACGAUGCCUGGCACCGCCUACGCAAGGGCAUCAACCCCCGCACCCGCGAGCAGCAGCUCUUCGACAUCAACAGGCACCAUGGGAUCUCCCACUAUCCGGAAGAAGAGACAACCAACCACACUGCGCUGCCGUGCCCCGGCGAGCUCCUUGUGGAAGAGCACCACAGCAACUACGGCGAGCCCUGGGCCGGUGGCCGUGACGUCUUCGAGUUCCUUGCUAACGCCUCUGCGCUGACGCCCACGGAGCAGGUUCUUGAAAUCGGAUGCGGUACGCUUCGUGUCGGUCUGCACUUCAUCCGGUAUCUUGAGUCUGGGAGGUUCCACUGCCUGGAGCGGGACGAGCUGUCCCUCAUGGCUGCUCUCCGGUAUGAACUGCCGGCGCAGGGGCUGCUGUACAAGCGGCCGAUGAUUGUGAGAGGGGAGGAUAUGGAUUUCAGCAAGUUUGGGGACACGGUCAUGUAUGAUCUCAUUUAUGCGAGCGCUGUGUUCCUCCAUAUUCCAGAUAAGCUUGUUUGGACUGGGCUUGAGAGGCUUGCGGGGAAGCUGAGGCCACAGAGAGGCCGGAUUUUCGUGUCGCAUAACAUUAAGUUCUGCUCAAGGCUGGGAGGCGACGAGUGCACACGGCGGCUUGCGAAAUUGGGCCUUGAAUAUGUGGGGAAGCACACUCAUGAUAGUUUGUUGUUUAACCACUACGAGAUAUGGUUUGAAUUCCGCAGGCCAAAAGUUUAGAUCGUGAUGGUAUAGAAAGAGAGUGGUUUGGCUUCUGUGGUGCAGUUUUGGUGGUUUCAAGCACAGAUUAAGCCAUGCCUUGUACUGUUUGUACACUACUGGUACUGGGACUUGACUUCAGAUUGAGAAUUGAGAUUGAUGUUCUCUCAGUGCCUAAUUCAAGAAUAUGCGCCAAGAGUCAUGAUUGAGCAAUGCUGUGGUGCUUCAGUGAGUCUUCCCAGUUUCAUUCGGAUUCAGGACUCUGUUUAUCUUUCCUUUGACAAAUACUGUGGUGACUAAAGUGCAAAGUUGCUUACAUGAGGUCAAAAUUUGCUUCCUCUCUCGAAUUCAUGCCCCCCCCCCCCUAACCCCAAAGAUAGAUGAAGCAGGUGUUAAUUGAAUGCUUCAGCUUUGAUUGGACCAAUUAUUGGAUGUUAUAUGCUGCAGCUUUAAUUGGGUCAAUUAUCGGAUGUACUAUUGCUUUUUUGCCAGAUUUCGUUUCUUGUAACAUGUCACUCAAAUACGUAUUCUAUGUCAGUCUGAAAGUGCUCCUUACAUGGUCAAACUAGAAUUGUAUUGCCAGGUGUAGGGCUUAAUGGUUUUACAAGGAUAACACCAGUAAUCAUAUUUUUGCAUUUUAUUGAAGUCCCUACUGACAGGAAGGUAGUUUGUUAUGCUAGUGUUAUGGUGAGCAGAUGUGGGCAUAUGAUUAACUUAAAUUGUAACUCUAGUCAUCGUAUAAUUAAUGUUUUAUCAAGUUGUUUCUCCUGGGGUUUUGACUUAAAAAUUAGAAUAGAGAAUAGCCGUGCUCCAUUUCAAUUUA